rnacentral:rRNA from 1 species
CGACGCUGGCGGCGUGCCUAACACAUGCAAGUCAAGGAGAAUUCCCGACUUGUCGGAUAGUAAACUGGCGAACGGGUGAGUAACAACGUAGGUAAUCUACCCUCGGGAUCGGGAUAACCUCGCGAAAGUGGGGAUAAUACCGAAUAAAGUCUCGGUAUAAUUUGUCGAGAUGAAAGAUGGGGAUCUUCGGACCUAUUACCUGAGGAUGAGCCUGCGCCUGAUUAGCUAGUUGGUAGGGUAAAUGCCUACCAAGGCAACGAUCAGUAGCUGGUCUGAGAGGAUGAUCAGCCACAUUGGGACUGAGAUACGGCCCAGACUCCUACGGGAGGCAGCAGUGAGGAAUUUUGCGCAAUGGGCGAAAGCCUGACGCAGCAACGCCGCGUGACUGAUUAAGCUCUGAGGAGUGUAAAAGUCUGUCGUAGAGGAAGAAACUAUCCGAUAAGAAUAUUGUCGGAUACUGACGGUACUCUAUGAGAAAGCUCCGGCUAACUCCGUG